AGGAUAAACGCUGGCGGCGUGCAUGAGACAUGCAAGUCGAACGGACGAUCAGGGCUUGCUCUGAUCGUUAGUGGCGGACGGCUGAGUAACGCGUAGGUGACCUGCCCCGAAGUGGGGAAUAACUGCCCGAAAGGGUGGCUAAUACCGCAUGUGGUGGUGUGUUCAUUCACACCAGUAAAGCCGCAAGGCGCUUCGGGAGGGGCCUGCGUCCGAUUAGCUCGUUGGUGGGUAACGGCUCACCAAGGCGACGAUCGGUAGGUGGUCUGAGAGGACGAUCACCCAGACUGGGACUGAGACACGGCCCAGACUCCUACGGGAGGCAGCAGUCGGGAAUUUUGCGCAAUGGACGAAAGUCUGACGCAGCAACGCCGCGUGAGGGAUGAAGGCCUUCGGGUUGUAAACCUCUUUUAUCAGGGAAGAUAAUGACGGUACCUGAUGAAUAAGUCACGGCUAACUACGUGCCAGCAGCCGCGGU
rnacentral:rRNA from 1 species